rnacentral:rRNA from 1 species
GUUUCUUGUUUCAAUUUGGCAAUGCUGGCAAAACAGGCUUGGCAACUUCUCGAAAGCCCUGAUUCUUUAUGUGCUACUAUCCUGAGAGCCAAGUACUACCCUGAUGGUGAUUUGCUAAAUACCAAAUUAAAGAAGGGCUCAUCUUUUACCUGGCAGAGUAUUAUAGCGGGGUGA